GCACGCGGUUGAGUCACGAAUGUGUGAGCACUGAGGCCAGCAGCUUCAGCCAGCGUCACUCCCCGUCGGCGGAGGGCUGGAGAAGCACAACACGCGGCCAUGCGCGAGGCAGUAGCUCCAGCAUUUCAUCUCUGCUCUCUUCUUUGCUGACGGAACGGCGCCUUUCCUCAUCUGUACUUCAGUAGUACCUUGCAGCCCUGGACUCGUGAGGACUCAAGAUGGUCAUCCCCAGCGCGACUUGCCACAGCAGGACAUCACUGGCCAUGGGCACAUGCAGAUGUUUGCAGUGAAGGUGCCUGCACACAACAGUACUUAGUUCAUGUGGGGCUGCAGUCGGGCAUCAGUGCAUCCCAACACCGGACCUCUGAGGAGCAGACUGAGGUAAUACAAGGUGGAUUUGAAGGUGUGGAGGAGAGCUGAAAAUCAUGGGUAAAUCCAACAGCAAGCUCAAGCCGGAGGUGGUGGAGGAAUUGACAAGGAAAACCUACUUUACAGAAAAAGAGGUGCAACAGUGGUACAAAGGCUUCAUUAAAGACUGUCCCAGCGGACAGCUUGAUUCUGUGGGCUUUCAGAAGAUCUACAAGCAGUUCUUUCCUUUUGGAGAUCCCACAAAGUUUGCCUCUUUUGUCUUCAACGUGUUUGAUGAAAAUAAGGAUGGACGUAUUGAGUUCUCAGAGUUCAUCCAAGCGUUGUCUGUGACUUCUCGGGGGACUCUGGAUGAGAAACUUCGAUGGGCUUUCAAGCUAUAUGACUUAGAUAAUGAUGGCUACAUCACCCGUGACGAGAUGCUGAACAUAGUCGAUGCCAUUUAUCAGAUGGUGGGAAACACUGUGGAGCUGCCAGAAGAAGAAAACACACCAGAAAAGCGAGUGGACCGCAUUUUUGCAAUGAUGGACAAGAAUGCAGACGGGAAACUGACUCUGCAGGAGUUUCAGGAGGGCUCCAAGGCGGACCCCUCUAUUGUGCAAGCAUUGUCUCUCUAUGAUGGUCUAGUCUAAGAAUGUAAGGUGAGUGGAGUAUUCAUGUGCAAGCCACAUGCACAAUUGGCCAAGGGGAAGUUCCGGCCAUUCAAUAUUAUGCCAUCUUUGUGUCAUCUGAGCCAAUGAAAAAAGAAAUAAAAAUCAGUGAAUGGCCUCAAUCCAAAGCAAAGCAGCUGCUUUCUGCUCUCAGUUUGUUGUUAUGAAUUAUUCAGGCGACCCACUUGUUUGCUGGCAAUCAAAUGGUCUUUCAGUGCCGAGCGAAGAGCCUCUUCCGCCGCCUCGUGUAAUCCACCACCCUCUGCCAAUUGUUGCUGACAUCGUGCUCAGCGUUUUGUCAGCUGUGAAGUGAGCUAGCGAAUGCAUAUUUUGAACACACCAUUGAGGUGAUUAUCCCUUAUGGACUGGGCAAAGACACACACACACACACACACUCAUAUAUAUAUAUAUAUAUAUAUAAAAAACAUGGUGAUCACUCUCCUCACCUCGCUAGAUGGAUCCAAUUUAUCAUCAGAUUUGGAAUCAGACACACCCAGCACCAACAAAUGAGUCCAUCACAGCCUCCUAACAAUCGAUCUUGCUCAUCCAGCAGUGGACUGACAAUCAGCAGACACUUGUUUGUGUUUCCACCAAGGACUGGGGACAAAUUUUCCAAUGCCGUUCAAACCUGGCAGCAAAGCCCUCUGUCAUUUCAACGUGCUUCUGCUGCUGCUACUGUGUGCAUCUGUGCAAACAUCGCAGCCAUCUCCUUUCCCCGCCAAAAGUCCCACAAGAUGAAUUCCGUUGGGGGAUUUUCCAGACUUUUCCUAAGGAGAGGCAGAGAGCUGUGCUGUCAUCAUGGACUCUAGAGUUUAACAUGUAAAAGCGUGUUACAUGGUGAUAGAGUGAACACUAAUUGAACGUCACAAAGCAGUGUAUUGUAAUAUGUAAAUAUAAUAUUAUGAUAAUUUAGUUCCUGCUUUUCUGUAUUCCAGAGUUUUCAACUCUUAAAAAUACAAUGAAGUUUUAUUUUUUAUCAAAGUUGUUGAAAUGUUUUGCACUGCCUUUUUCACUACAAUUGUGGGAUUUUUUUGUUGUUGUUCUCACGCUCUGAGUUUCCUCUCCGGAGAGAAUAGAAUUUUUAUUUGUGGAACAGUGUUGAAGGAGCAGGGAGUUUUCUAAGGAUUAUUUUACUACAUUUGCAACCUGUGAAUACUAUUGUGUUUUCACUUCCCAGUGAGCAUGAGUGUCUCGUGUCAGCAGCGCAAUGGCCGAGCAGCAUCGCCAAAGGUCAUGGCUUAAUUGAGGCUCAUUACCCUCAUUCAAUUUCAGCGAGAGGCACAAACAAACACCAAUUCUCGUUGUAAAGCUUAAGCGAGCUUUUUGGCUGCUGUUGUCCACUUUCUAGUUGUCCUGAUGUGUAAAGCCAGAGUAUGCGUUCAUGCCUUCUACCAAUUCUUAAUAAUUUCUUGUUGACGCAGUCCCAUUUUAGCACUGUCACUGAUGUUAUGCCUUAUGCAAAUAAUUUACUGAAUGACAAAUGCCAUUUACCUGUCAUUGAUCAGUAUGAGAGCACAUAAUAAAAUGCAUUUAAAUGGC